rnacentral:rRNA from 1 species
AACUUUCAACAACGGAUCUUUUGGUUCUGGCAUCGAUGAAGAACGCAGCGAAAUGCGAUAAGUAAUGUAGAAUUGCAGAAUUCAAGUGAAUCAUCGAAUCUUUGAACGCACAUUGCGCCCGCCAGUAUUCUGGCGGGCAUGCCUGUUCGAGCGUCAUU